ACUGAAUGAUAUCCCACCAACUGAGCAGUCAAUAGUUGGUUUGGUUGCAUAUGAUGUGGUUAAAUUGAUCCAAGAUGGGACUGAUACCAGG
ensembl:snoRNA SNORD21 Small nucleolar RNA SNORD21